rnacentral:lncRNA from 10 species
AGCGUCUGGGGACAGCGUGUUGGGCUGUGGGGAGGUUACCGAAAGGAAACGGGCCGAGUCCAGUUGUUUGAGCGGUUUUCUCCUUCCACGAGCGUGUGUGAAAAAGCGCGGAGUUCGGUGGAGGGCAGCUGCCAGGACUGCCUCCUGGACUGGGUGCGGUAAGGCCUUAGGGAUGCAUUCAGAUGUAGGGUGCCUUAUUUUGGGCCGAGAAAGCUGUCAAGUGAAAGAUCCAAGGGGAAAGGUGGGCCUGGAUUUUUUUGUUGUUGUUUGCGGUGGGUUUUUUGUUUGUUUUGAGGUCAAGUGCAGAAGCAGCGGAAGCUUCAACUGUAACCCUCCAGAAGGCAGGGAUCAUGCUGUUUCCCUCAUCCUUGUCUCUGAUCUUGGUGACACAUGUAGGUGAUUUCUGAUAGGAAUACCCAGUUCUGCAGUAAAUAGCAGACACAGCCCUUGGUCUUUUUCUAUUAAAUUCUUAGAAUAUAUUUCUGAAUUGGGAGAUUUAAAGGCUAAACAGAUUCCGACCUCCUUUUCCCCCACCUCAAAAACAGAACUUUAAAAAGGAGUGGGGGAGGUGUUUAUAAAAUCCCAGGACAAACAGUUCCAGCAGCGAACACACAUCGUCUUCAUUCUGAAAAAACCUGGUGCGGCGUGAGUUCCAAACGUCAGUCUCCCAGGGGAGAGAGAAGGAAGGUGGGGGAGGGCUUGAUUGUGUUGAUCUGAGGCCAGCAAACUCCUUAUGAAUAGAAACGUUAGUAAUCUUGAGUCAUUUGGCUGUGUAAGUAAUAAGAGCUUGUGAGGGUGUGACAAUGCUGUUUGGCUUGUAGGAAAUUUUGGGGAGUUUAUGUUUUGUUAAAAGAUUUUUAUCUUAAAAACUAGCCCCCUGCCUUCCUUAAAUUGUGAGGUAAAACAGUGAUUUGUUCCGCCCUACACUGAGCACAUUGUAGGAUCUUGAUAGAUUGCGGAUGAUAAAAGACAGGAAGUCAAGCUAAGUGGGGAGCAGAGGGGGGCAAGGAAUUCGCCAGGAAAGACCAUAUGAGUUAAAACGCAAAGCUGUUGGAUCCUGGCUGCCAUGUCUAGAUAAUUACAGACAGCACCAAGGGUGGCCUCAUACCGGAAAAAAGUUUGACUUUUACCACUUCCUCAGGUUAGUUAGGGAGAAAGUUUUCAGCAGUUAUGAAUGAAAAGACAAAUGCAACCAAUCAAAACACUAAUGGGUUGUACGAGUCAACAAACACGAAGAAAUAUUAAUUUAACGAACUUUCACUAUUAUACACCUGUGACUGUUAUCCACUGUGACAAUGGCUGUUUCAAAUAUAUAAUAUGUUAAAUAUAUGUUUAUUUUACCUUCGCAGUAUUUUUUUUUUUUUUUCCGAGACAGGGCCUGUCGCCCAGGCUGGAGUGCAGUGGCGCCAUCUCGGCUGACUGCAACCUUCUCUCCUGGGCUCAAGCCAUCCUCCCACCUCAGCCUCCUAAAUAGCUGGGACUACGGGUGCGCACCACCACGCCUGGCUAAUUUUUGUAGAAACGGGGUUUCAUCAUGUUACCGACGCUGGUCUCCUACUCUUGAGCUCAAGCAAUCCGCCCGCCUUGACCUCCCAAAGUUCUGGGAUUACAGGCGUGCACCACCACCAUGCUCUUCCCCUUCCCAGUAUUUCUGACUUAAAAAAAGUAGUCAGCUUCUUCUUAAAUUAUGGUAAAAGCAUACAAAGGUAUGCACCAAUUUUCUUAAAUGAGAUCAGUGUGUACUGAUGUGUGAAUAUGUACAGGCUAAUUUGGGAGAAAAGCAUGUUUAAUAUUUUAAACCAUUUGUGGAAAAAAUGUAUACACAUCUAUGUGUUCCUAUAUGCAUAGAAUAUUUC